rnacentral:rRNA from 1 species
AACACGUGAGAAACCUGCCUCGGAUUUUGGGAUAACAAAUGGAAACGUUUGCUAAUACCAAAUAACGUCGGAGAGUCACAUGACUUUCUGACGAAAGGAAUUCCGAUUCGAGAGGGUCUCGCGGCCUAUCAGCUUGUUGGCGGGGUAAUGGCCCACCAAGGCAACGACGGGUAGCUGGUCUGAGAGGAUGGUCAGCCACACUGGGACUGAGACACGGCCCAGACUCCUACGGGAGGCAGCAGUGGGGAAUCUUGCGCAAUGGGCGAAAGCCUGACGCAGCAACGCCGCGUGCGGGAAGAAGGCUUUCGGGCUGUAAACCGCUUUCAGCAGGAACGAAAAUGACGGUACCUGCAGAAGAAGGAGCGGCCAACUAUGUGCCAGCAGCCGCGGUGAUACAUAGGCUUCAAGCGUUGUCCGGAUUUAUUGGGCGUAAAGAGUUCGUAGGCGGUCGAGUAAGUCGGGUGUGAAAAUUCUGGGCUCAACCCAGAGACGCCACCCGAUACUGCUUAACUUGAGUUCGAUAGGGGAGUGGGGAAUUCCUAGUGUAGCGGUGAAAUGCGCAGACAUUAGGAGG